AUUGAACGCUGGCGGCAGGCCUAACACAUGCAAGUCGAGCGGCAGCGGAAAGUAGCUUGCUACUUUGCCGGCGAGCGGCGGACGGGUGAGUAAUGUCUGGGAAACUGCCUGAUGGAGGGGGAUAACUACUGGAGACGGUAGCUAAUACCGCAUAACGUCGCAAGACCAAAGAGGGGGACCUUUGGGCCUCUUGCCAUCAGAUGUGCCCAGAUGGGAUUAGCUAGUAGGUGGGGUAACGGCUCACCUAGGCGACGAUCCCUAGGUGGUCUGAGAGGAUGACCAGCAACACUGGAACUGAGACACGGUCCAGACUCCUACGGGAGUCAGCAGUGGGGAAUAUUGCACAAUGGGCGCAAGCCUGAUGCAGCCAUGCCGCGUGUAUGAAGAAGGCCUUCGGGUUGUAAAGUACUUUCAGCGGGGAGGAAGGUGUUGUGGUUAAUAACCACAGCAAUUGACGUUACCCGCAGAAGAAGCACCGGCUAACUCCGUGCCAGCCGCCGCCGUAA
rnacentral:rRNA from 1 species